AUGAGACUUUGGCUCCAUUUGGUUCUCAUUGUAGCGGCUCUGGAAGGUGUCCGGUCCCAGGUGCAGCUGGUGGAGUCCGGAGGGGAUGUGAAAAAGCCCGGAGACUCUCUCCGCCUCUCCUGCAAAGCCUCCGGGUUCACCUUCAGCGGCUACACUAUGUACUGGGUCCGACAGGCUCCCGGGAAGGGACUGGAGUGGGUGUCACGUAUUUACGAUGACGGGAGUGCUGUGUACUACGCCGACACAGUGAAAGGGCGAUUCACCAUCUCCAGGGACAAUCCCAAGAACCUGCUGUAUCUGCAAAUGAGCAAUUUGAAGCCUGAGGACACCGGCCGCUAUUACUGUGCGAGAGACACACAGUGA